ACGUCCUCAGCGCAAACGCCACUUCUCGGAGAGGGCCCCUAAAGUGGAAGGGGAUAAUUGUCAGAACAGAGGAACAUAGGUCCGACGUCGGGCAAAAUUCCAGGGCCAUUUGGGGCUGAAAUGAGGAGCCUGGAAGUUGGCGGCGAUUUCCUCAGCUGCGCGCAGCGGGGGUGGAGUGGAGGGAAAUGGCCCCAUGGCCUUGUUUGUCCAUUUGGACGGUGUUCAUGCUGUUGAAACGGGAAAACAGUCCAGCCAAAAAAACUCUGGAUCGAAGAGGGACAUGAACACGCAGAACUUGGAUUCCACAUAAAUCGUGUGAUUUAAAAUCUGCUCACUCCCCCCCUGCUCUCACCUGCUGUCUGUGGGGGAAGCCACCUGCCAUGUCUGAGAACCCUCAAGCACACUUAUGGGGGAAUCUACCUCGUGAGGAACUGAGGCCUCCUGCCCACAGACAGCGCCAACUCACUAUCCAUAUGACUGAGGCUCCCUUGAGGGUGAUCCUCCAGCGCCCCUUAAGUCUUCAGAUGGAAGCAGCUUUGGCCAGUAUCUUGACAGCAACUUCAUGAGAGACUCCAAGCAGGAAUCACUCAGCUAACUGCUUCUGAAUUCCUGACCCAGGGAAUCUGUGUGAGAUAAUAAAUGCGUCUAAUUUUGGAAAGCUGCUAAUUUUGGAAAUCAUUUGUCACAUAGUAAUAGGUCAUUAAUAUACCAUUUAACAUUAUUUUAUUUACUUAUCUUGCUUUUGUCUACCUGUCUUAACUAGAAUAUUAGCUGCAGGAGAUCAGGAAUAUUUCUCCUUUUUGUUCACUGUAGAAUCCCCAGCACCUAGAACAAUUUCUCCAUAACAACCCCCAGAGAUAUGUACUGUUAUCCCCAUUUUACAAAUAGGGAAACUGGGACACAGUAAGGUUAAAUAACAUAUCCAAGAUCAUGUAGUCAGAGCCACACUUUUCUCCACUGUGUAAUAUGCUUAACCAGAGCUCUGCACUGCCCCACUUCUGUGCACGGUGUCCUGUAUUAUGUGCAAGACAAAAUGAUAGUUAUUAUUGGGGGUAUAGCUGAAUUUAAGGCAUGGUCUCUACUCUGAUGCAGUUAACAGUCCAACUGGGAAAACAGAAGAAGUAUCAGAUAACUACAACAUAGAGUGGGAUUUGAUGAGUGUCAUAUGAAUGUGUAUUGGCCAUGAAAGGGUAACUCAGCCUCUUUUCCAAGAAGAGUGGCUACCUGUGGUUCUUAUGCUUAGGUCCCAUGGUUUGUGCCAUAUGACGUUAACCACCCUAGCCACAACUAAUUGAAAUAGGGAUAAUUGCCUAAGUCAAAGGCUGAGUGGACAGUAGCACAGAGGGUUGCUGGUAUAAGAACUCUAAGAGGCCUAUUUGACUGCUGAGAUAGUAUACUUGGCUUUUUUAAUACCCCAUGUAUCCUUACAACAAAUCUUGAUUAUCUGGGGUAGCCUGAGCAUGUCUUUAGUGCUGUAACCAGAAAAGACCCCUCAUACAGAGUAGAGUACAAAGUCCUGUAGAAGUUCAGAGGAGUCAGAGGUUACAGGAAGGAAAGGGUUGGAUAUUUCAUGGAGAAUUGACACAUGACUUGUCACAGAAAGAAAAAUAUACUUUAAUAAUAGAUAACUAGAGAUCAUAGUUCAUUGUCAUUUAUAAAGUCUAAGAACUACAAGUAUACAAAGAUGUAAUUUGUAUAUUUUAUUUGACUUGGGUGGUGGUGUGGGUUGAACUGUGUCACCCAAAAAGAUAUGUUAAAGUCUUAAUCCCCAGUACCUGUGAAUAUCACCUUGUUUGGAAAUAGGGUCUUUGCAGAUGUAAUCAAGUGAGAUGAGUUAUGUCUUUCACAAAGCUGUUUCUCAGCAAAUAUUUGUUGGCUGGAGAUGGAUAGAGAAUUAUUGAAAACUUGUUCAAAAGUGUAAAAGAGGGAAUUCUGCUCUGACUGUGAUCGAGUAGCCUGUAGCAGACUAAUAUUCUCACUAAGAACAACUAGAAAAUCUGGAUAAAAUUCCAAAAGAAUUGUAUUUACAGGCAUCAGAUUGCUGCUAUGGCAGUUCGUUGAGGUGAGUCCAAAAUUCUUUGUGCUAUUUUUCCCCUUCAGAGAGUUGUUAAAAUCAUAAGCAGCUAAAAACAGAGCUGAGUUUUUGAAAGUCUCAUUGAGUUAAGGAGACAAAUAUUUGAGUUUUAUCUCACAAGGAGGAGGGAUGCUAAUUAAUAUCCACAUUUCAGUUGGGAUCCAUGGAUAUUAGCCGUCUCAAAGACUUAACACCUUCUCAAGUUAACUCAAUCCCUGACUGGAUUCAGGCAACCUUCACUACUCUAGCUGCCUACCAUAAUUCUUUCUGGAGGAGGAUAACAUCAUCUAGGGCCUUUACAACUUUUCCUAUACAAUGUUUGGCAUUUGAUGAAAAAUUACCGGGCAUAAAAAGAAACAGUCCAAGGGGUCGGAGGAUACAGGCCAACAGCUGACCUAGAAAUUAGAGUAAUCAGAAAUGGACUUUAAAAUAACUGUGAAUAAGAAGUUCAAGAAAACAGGUAAUAAGAUUGAGAAUUUAACCAUAGAUCUGAAUUCUAUAAAAAUAUAAACAAAUUAAAAUUCUACAACUGAAAGAUACCUGACAUUAUAAACUCAGCAGAUGCGUUGUAUAGCAUAUUUGUUACAAUUGAAGAGUAGAUUAGUGAACAAAAAAGAAGAAUAUUAUAGAAUGGAGAGCCAAAAGUAUUAAAAAUAUAGAAAAGAGCAAAGAGUAUAUACAGGACAUGCUGAAAAGUCUAACAUAUACCUCAUUUGAGUCAAGAAGGGGAAGAGAGACAGAAUGGACCAGACGAAUUACUUGAAGUGAUAAUGGUCAAAACUUUCCAAAGAUGACAAAUGACAUUAAGUCACAAAUUCAAGAAGAAGUGCAUUAAAUUCUUAGCAGGAUUAAAAAAAUAAAAACAACAUACUACAGUAAAACUGCUAAAAACCAAAGACAAAGAGAAAAAUCUUAAAAGCAGCCAGAGUGGGGAAAACUCAUUAUUUUCAAAAUAGCAACAAUGAUAACAAUGAAUUAUCUACUAUAAUAACUAAAGCACAAACAGCAAAAGACAAAUAAAUGGGACCUCAUAAAAAUUAAAAACUUUUGCUCAAAAAGUCCAUCAAAUGGGCAAAAGGCAGUCUUUUUAACACAUGGUGCUGGCAAAACUGGAUGUCGAUUUGCAAAAAAAACAAAAAAAAACAGGACCCAUACCUCAUACCACACACAAAAACUAAUUCAAAAUGGAUCAAAGACCUAAAUAUAAAAUAAACUGUAAAGAUUAUAGAAGAAAAAAAUAGGAUCAGCGCUAGAGACCUUAAUACAUGCCAUUAACAGGAUACAAACCAUAACUAACAAUGCAUAAACUCCAGAAGACAAGCUAAAUAAUUGGGAUCUUCUAAAAAUUAUACACUUAGGCUCAUCAAAAGAGUUCACCAAAAGAGUAAAAAGAAAAACUACAGACUGGGAAACAUUUUUUGGCUAUGGCAAAUCUGACAAAGUUCUAAUCUCUAAAAUCUGUGGGAAAAUCCAACAUCUCUACAACGAAAAAGACAAUCCAAUUAAAAAAUGGGCAAAGGAAAUGAACAGACACCUCACCAAAGAAGACAUUCAAAUGGAUAACAGACACAUGAGGAAAUGCUCACGAUCACUAGCCAUUAGAGAAAUGUAAAUCAAAACCACAAUGAGAUACCAUCUUACCCCAGCAUGGCUGGCACAAAUCAAAAAACAAAAUAGCAAAUGUUUGAAAGGCUGCCGGGAGAUUGGAACUCUUAUGCCCUGCUGGUGGGAAUGCAAAUUGGCACAACCAUUUUGGAAAAUGAUAUGGUGCUUCCUUAAAAAGCUAGAAAUAGAAAUACCAUAUGAUCCAGCAGUCCCACUCCUAGGAAUAUAUCCUAGAGAAAUAAGAGCUGUCACACGAAUAGACAUGUGCAUACCCAUGUUCACUGCAGCAUUAUUCACAAUAGCAAAAACAUGGAAACAACCUAGAUGCUCAUCAACAGAUAAGCAAACUAUGGUAUAUACACACAAUGGAACACUACACAGUGAUAAAGAACAAUGAUAAAUCUGUGAAGUAUCUCACAAUGUGGGUGAAUCCGGAGGGCAUUAUGCUGAGUGAAAUAAGUCAGUCACAAAAGGACAAAUAUUGUAUGAGACCACUACUAUAAAAACUCAUGAAAAGGUUUACACACAAAAAGAAACAAUCUUUGAUGGUCAUGAGGGAGGGGAGGGGUGAGGAGAGAAAAACACUAGAUAGACAAUAGAUAAAUGGUAACAUUGGUGAAGGGUAAAGCAGUACAAGGCAAGGUCAUGGAAACUUCAUAGACACAUCCAAACUCCACCAUGGUCUUGGGGAACAUCUAGCUCAAUUGGCAUUACAUAGUUUAUAAAGAAACUAUUCUACAUUCUACUUUGGGGAGUAGUGUCUGGGGUCUUAAAAGCUUGUGAGUGGCCAUCUAAGAUACUCCACUGGUCUCACCUUGUUGGCAGCAAGGGAGAAUGAAGAAAACCCAAGACACAAGGGAAAAAUUAGUCCAGAGGACUGAUGGACCACAACUACCACAGCCUCCACUGGACUGAAUCCAACACAGCUAGAUGGUGUCUGGCUAACACCACUGACUGCUCUGACAGGGAUCACAAUAGAGGGUCCCCGACAGAGCUGGAGAAAAAUGUAGAACAAAAUUCUAAAUCACAAAGACCAGACUUACUGGCCUGACAGACACUGGAGAAAACUGCAUGUAUGACCCCGGACACCUUUUUAGCUCAGUAAUAAACUCACCUCUGAGGUUCACCCUUCAUCCAAAGAUUAGACAGGCCCAUAAAACAAAAUGAAACUAAAUGGGCACACAGGCCCAGGGGCAAGGAGUAGAAGGCAGGAGGGGACAGGAAAGCUGGUAACAGGGAACCCAAGGUUGAGAAGGGAGAGUGUUGACAUGUUGUGGGGUUGGUAAGCAGUGUCACAAAACAAUAUGUGUACUAAUUGUUUAAUGAGAAAAAAUAAAGGUCAGAAACUUUGUGAAUAUAGUAAAAACUAUUGUACACUUUAAGUGGGUGAGUUGUAUGACCUGUGAAUUAUAUCUCAAUAAAGUUGUUUUUUGAAAUAGCACAGAAAGAAGAAAACGAGUACAAUAAACCUUUAUGCUAUUAAAAAAAAAAAAAAAAGC